ACGAGAAAGCAUCCUUCGGGGUGUGAGUACAGUGGCGCACGGGUGAGUAACACGUGGGUUACCUGCCCUCCGGUGGGGAAUAACUCCGCGAAAGUGGAGCUAAUACCGCAUACGACCUUUGGGUGAAAGUCCUAGGACGCCGGAGGAGGGGCCCGCGGCCGAUUAGCUUGUUGGUGAGGUAAUGGCUCACCAAGGCUGCAAUCGGUAGCCGGCCUGAGAGGGCACACGGCCACACUGGCACUGAGACACGGGCCAGACUCCUACGGGAGGCAGCAGUGGGGAAUCUUGCACAAUGGGGGAAACCCUGAUGCAGCGACGCCGCGUGAGCGAUGAAGUCCUUCGGGGCGUAAAGCUCUUUCAGUGGGAACGAUAAUGACGGUACCCACAGAAGAAGCUGCGGCUAACUACGUGCCAGCAGCCGCGGUAAUACGUAGGCAGCGAGCGUUGUUCGGAGUUACUGGGCGUAAAGAGUGCGUAGGCGGUUACGUAAGUCUGGUGUGAAAUCUCCUGGCUCAACUGGGAGGGUGCGCCGGAAACUGCGGAGCUUGAGCACGGGAGAGGAAAGCGGAAUUCCUGGUGUAGCGGUGAAAUGCGUAGAUAUCAGGAGGAACACCGGUGGUGUAGACGGCUUUCUGGACCGUUGCUGACGCUGAGGCACGAAAGCGUGGGGAGCAAACAGGAUUAGAUACCCUGGUAGUCCACGCCCUAAACGAUGCAUACUUGGUGUGGGCACUUCAGUGUGUCCGUGCCGGAGCUAACGCGUU
rnacentral:rRNA from 1 species